rnacentral:rRNA from 1 species
UACGGGGGGGGCAAGCGUUACUCGGAAUUAUUGGGCGUAAAGGGCGCGUAGGCGGUCGUGUGCGUCGGAGGUGAAAUCCCCAGGCUUAACCUGGGAACUGCCUCCGAUACGGCAUGGCUUGAGUCCGGGAGAGGGGAGCAGAAUUCCCAGUGUAGCGGUGAAAUGCGUAGAUAUUGGGAGGAAUACCAGUGGCGAAGGCGGCUCCCUGGACCGGUACUGACGCUGAGGCGCGAAAGCGUGGGUAGCAAACGGG